CACGUAGGGUGCGAGCGUUGUCCGGAAUUAUUGGGCGUAAAGAGCUCGUAGGCGGUGUGUCGCGUCGGCCGUGAAAACCUGCAGCUUAACUGUGGGCUUGCGGUCGAUACGGGCAUCACUGGAGUUCGGCAGGGGAGACUGGAAUUCCUGGUGUAGCGGUGAAAUGCGCAGAUAUCAGGAGGAACACCGGUGGCGAAGGCGAAUCCCUGGAAAAUACCUGACACUGAGGCACGAAAGCUAGGGGAGCAAACAGG
rnacentral:rRNA from 1 species